CUAGGCCAUAGAAAUGUUGAUCAGAGGCAGAAAAUCAGAAAAGCUUAUGAGGAACUUUUCCAAGAGGAUCUCAUCAAACGCCUUGAGUCUGAGAUAUCCGGUGACUUUGAGGUACCAUAAAAGCAUGAUAUUUCUAAUGUUUCCACAAAGUUUUAGUUUAGAGGGUAAUAUCUAUGAAACUAUCGGUGUAAAGAUUUAUACAAAGUCGAUAUAAUCUGCUAUUUACUUGUAUUACAAUUUUUGAAGAGUUAAUGGUGAUUGAAAAUGAAUGGUGAAUGAUAGGCCGACCACGUAUAAAACUUUUACACUACAGUGCAUACAUUAUUUUCUCUUUAGUUUAAUAUCAAAAUUAAAUAUAAAGCGGUUUAUGCAAAUCAGAGAGCUGUGUAUCGCUGGAUGUUAGAACCUGCAGACCGUGAUGCUGUUUUGGCCAAUGUGGCAUUUAUAAAGCACUUUUAAAAAUCAAUUUUUAAAUAGUGAUUUUUUGAAUUUUUUUAGAAAAAUUAUUUUUUACAAUAUUCUACACGCAUGAGAGUUUUAAGGUUCUACGUGUAAAGUUUUUAAAAAAUACUUAUAGAGUGUAAUAUCUAUGCACUGUUACUGUAAAGAUUUGUACAUAAUCACUAUAUCAUCUACCAUUUAUUUGAAUUUUGUUUUUGAAGAGUCAAUUAUGAAUAAAUAUAAAUGGUAGAUGAUGCGGUGAUAGUGCAUAAAGCUCAUGCAUUCUUAGUGUAUACAUUUUUCUCAUACUUAUAUAUGUUAUGUACUUCAGAAUAAAAUUUUAAUAUUAACUACAUACACACACGUUAUAUAAUUUACAUCAAUUUAAUAAAAUAUUAAAAGUGAGAGUGUGAAUCAUGAAUGAAUUUAGUUUUCUUAAAUAUUAAAUGAAAUUCCAAAGCAAAAAAUUUUAUUUUUGAAUUUUGGUUUUUUUGAUGGAUUGGAUAUCAAUCCAAAUGAAUAUAUCAUUGAAUAUUCAUCGGAUAUAAUGAAUGAAUUUGAAUUCAUCCAUUCUCAAUACUAUACAUUGGAUUAUAUCCAUUUAAGUCCAUUAGCUCUAAUGGAUGGAUAUGAAUUGUGGAUUAUGAAUAAUUUUGUCACCUCAAAUUAUUUAUAUACAUUUCCUCUUCAUUCUUUAUGCAAUAAUAUAUACUUUGUGUUUUUUUCUCAUUAUAGGUCAACUUAGUAUAUUGAAUGUUAUGUUUUUCUCUUCUACUUAAAUGAUAGUGUAUUAUAAUUUUCUCUCUCAAUGUUCUUGAAUGGUAGUUUGGGUGCCCAAGAGGUAUCUGAUAAAUAUUUUAAGAAUAUGAGAAAAUAUUGAAAAUGUUUUGGGUUUAUAAUUUAUUUAUUUUCAAACAAAUAAUUUUGAUAAUAUAUAUACAUAUAUAUAUCCAUAAAGUAUUAGAGUGUAUUUGUAUUGAAUAUGUACCUCACACAUGAAGAAUAUUGAAGUAUCAUUCAUACCUAUUUAGAACUUGCCCAAACAAUGCUAUAUAUACGAGCUGAGCCUGUGAUAUAAACAUCAUAACCAGAACUAUUGUAGAGAAAAUAAACUCAGCUAUGGCUACCCUUACUGCUCCCAGCCACUAUUCCCCUGUUGAAGAUGCAGAAGCUCUCCAAAAAUCUUUCAAAGGUUUAUUAUUUCACUAAUUAUUCAUGAAAAACUUGUUUCUUUUUCCUGUCUUGGUUUAUGAAUUUGCAUGGUAUUUUCAGUUAAUCUUGAACAUGCAUUAACUUAAAUUGAUUGCGACAUGCAUCAAUGGUUUUAAACUCAUCAGGAUGGGGUGCUGAUGAUAAGACCAUUAUAGCAAUACUAGGCCAUAGAAAUGUUGAUCAGAGGCAGAAAAUCAGAAAAGCUUAUGAGGAACUUUUCCAAGAGGAUCUCAUCAAACGCCUUGAGUCUGAGAUAUCCGGUGACUUUGAGGUACCAUAAAAGCAUGAUAUUUCUAAUGUUUCCACAAAGUUUUAGUUUAGAGGGUAAUAUCUAUGAAACUAUCGGUGUAAAGAUUUAUACAAAGUCGAUAUAAUCUGCUAUUUACUUGUAUUACAAUUUUUGAAGAGUUAAUGGUGAUUGAAAAUGAAUGGUGAAUGAUAGGCCGACCACGUAUAAAACUU
rnacentral:lncRNA from 1 species